AUUGAACGCUGGCGGCAGGCUUAACACAUGCAAGUCGAGCGGAGAUGAGGUGCUUGCACCUUAUCUUAGCGGCGGACGGGUGAGUAAUGCUUAGGAAUCUGCCAUUUAGUGGGGGACAACAUUCCGAAAGGAAUGCUAAUACCGCAUACGUCCUACGGGAGAAAGCAGGGGAUCUUCGGACCUUGCGCUAAAUGAUGAGCCUAAGUCGGAUUAGCUAGUUGGUGGGGUAAAGGCCUACCAAGGCGACGAUCUGUAGCGGGUCUGAGAGGAUGAUCCGCCACACUGGGACUGAGACACGGCCCAGACUCCUACGGGAGGCAGCAGUGGGGAAUAUUGGACAAUGGGCGGAAGCCUGAUCCAGCCAUGCCGCGUGUGUGAAGAAGGCCUUUUGGUCGUAAAGCACUUUAAGCGAGGAGGAGGCUACCUGGAUUAAUACUCUAGGAUAGUGGACGUUACUCGCAGAAUAAGCACCGGCUAACUCUGUGCCAGCAGCCGCCGUAACAC
rnacentral:rRNA from 1 species